UACGAAGGGGGCUAGCGUUGCUCGGAAUCACUGGGCGUAAAGCGCACGUAGGCGGCUUGGUAUGUCGGGUGUGAAAUCCCCGGGCUCAACCUGGGAACUGCAUCCGAAACUGCUUUGCUAGAGUAUGGGAGAGGGAAGUGGAAUUUCCGGUGUAGCGGUGAAAUGCGCAGAUAUUAGGAGGAACACCGGUGGCGAAGGCGCCACUCGUGGGCCGAAACUGACGCUGAGGAGCGAAAGCGUGGGGAGCAAACAGG
rnacentral:rRNA from 1 species